CCCCCGGAGACGCCGCCUCAAGAACCCGUCGCGCAGUCCUCACGAAACCCACCCCCAGCACCAUCUGAGAAAGUGAAGCUGGAGGAGAAGAAACCUGAUGGGAAAAAAAGGGGCCGAAAGAGGAUCAGGAUGAACCAGAUGUUUAUCAAACUCGUCUUAUCGCCAACCUGGAGUUAACGGCAGAACAUUUUCUGCUGGUGAAGAAAAGACCUGGCAAGAGAGCCUCAUCCAUUGGAGGAAAGUGUCACGAAGCACCAAU